rnacentral:rRNA from 1 species
UACGUAGGGUGCGAGCGUUGUCCGGAAUUAUUGGGCGUAAAGAGCUUGUAGGCGGUUUGUCGCGUCUGCUGUGAAAUUUCGGGGCUCAACCCCGAACUUGCAGUGGGUACGGGCAGACUAGAGUGUGGUAGGGGAGACUGGAAUUCCUGGUGUAGCGGUGAAAUGCGCAGAUAUCAGGAGGAACACCGAUGGCGAAGGCGGGUCUCUGGGCAGUAACUGACGCUGAGGAGCGAAAGCGUGGGGAGCGAACAGG